GCGUCUUAAGCAUGCAAGUCAAACGGGAUGUAGCAAUACAUCUAGUGGCGAACGGGUGAGUAACGCGUGGAUGAUCUACCUACGAGAUGGGGAUAACUAUUAGAAAUAGUAGCUAAUACCGAAUAAAGUCAAUCAAUUUGUUAAUUGAUGAAAGGAAGCCUUUAAAGCUUCGCUUGUAGAUGAGUCUGCGUCUUAUUAGCUAGUUGGUAGGGUAAAUGCCUACCAAGGCGAUGAUAAGUAACCGGCCUGAGAGGGUGAACGGUCACACUGGAACUGAGAUACGGUCCAGACUCCUACGGGAGGCAGCAGCUAAGAAUCUUCCGCAAUGGGCGAAAGCCUGACGGAGCGACACUGCGUGAAUGAAGAAGGUCGAAAGAUUGUAAAAUUCUUUUAUAAAUGAGGAAUAAGCUUUGUAGGAAAUGACGAAGUGAUGACGUUAAUUUAUGAAUAAGCCCCGGCUAAUUACGUGCCAGCAGCCGCGGUAAUACGUAAGGGGCGAGCGUUGUUCGGGAUUAUUGGGCGUAAAGGGUGAGUAGGCGGAUAUAUAAGUCUAUGCAUAAAAUACCACAGCUCAACUGUGGAACUAUGUUGGAAACUAUAUGUCUAGAGUCUGAUAGAGGAAGUUAGAAUUUCUGGUGUAAGGGUGGAAUCUGUUGAUAUCAGAAAGAAUACCGGAGGCGAAGGCGAACUUCUGGGUCAAGACUGACGCUGAGUCACGAAAGCGUAGGGAGCAAACAGGAUUAGAUACCCUGGUAGUCUACGCUGUAAACGAUGCACACUUGGUGUUAACUAAAAGUUAGUACCGAAGCUAACGUG
rnacentral:rRNA from 1 species